rnacentral:rRNA from 1 species
UACGUAGGGUGCGAGCGUUGUCCGGAAUUAUUGGGCGUAAAGGGCUCGUAGGCGGUUUGUCACGUCGGGAGUGAAAACUCGGGGCUUAACCCCGAGCCUGCUUCCGAUACGGGCUGACUAGAGGUAUGCAGGGGAGAACGGAAUUCCUGGUGUAGCGGUGAAAUGCGCAGAUAUCAGGAGGAACACCGGUGGCGAAGGCGGUUCUCUGGGAAUAUCCUGACGCUGAGGAGCGAAAGUGUGGGGAGCGAACAGG